UCAUUACCAAUCCCAAGAGAAUUGAUUAAAUUGGAUUUCAUGUUAACUUGGGUAUCCGUGAUGGCCCGAGUAGAUUCAAGUAAAUGAUGUUGCCUGAUGUUUAAUUUGAAACAGUCGUGAUAAGAUGAGAUUUGUUGGGAAAUAAUGAAAAGAGUAACAGCUCCAGAUUGGUUGAUUGGAAUGUAAACUAAAUUAGCAAAACUUGAUCCAUCUUCAAUUAGCUUUUGUCAUUUCCAUUUGUAAUAAAUCAUUUCAUGGAAUAUUAAUCAAAGAGUAAAAAUAAUUGAAUUAACCAAAUGGAAUGCAGACUAAAAAGGGAAACAUGAACUCAAAUCUUGACAAAGUUUCAUGUUUACAUAAUAUUUUACUCAUUUCAAUGAGUCUCUCCAUGAAUAUCUUGAAACGUUGAAGAACAAUGAAGCAAGUAAACGAAAAACCUUUACACCAUUGCAUGAUACUUUCCUUUUCUUUUCUAUUUUACAUAUUUACUCUUUAUCUCUUUUACCAUCUCUCUUUAUAAUCAUAACUCUAGAUUCCCAAUCAGCAUUCAUGAAUAUAUAUUCACACACUCAAUCACAUUCAUCACUUGAUCGAUUCCAGGAUAAGCAGAUGGCAGUGAAUAACUUAUCUUUGUUUCCAUAAACUUCAAUUUUGUUUCUUUCAA